rnacentral:rRNA from 1 species
AGCAGCGCCGCGGGAAUACAGAGGGUGCAAGCGUUAAUCGGAAUUACUGGGCGUAAAGCGUGCGUAGGUGGUGGUUUAAGUCCGUUGUGAAAGCCCUGGGCUCAACCUGGGAAUUGCAGUGGAUACUGGGUCACUAGAGUGUGGUAGAGGAUAGUGGAAUUUCCGGUGUAGCAGUGAAAUGCGUAGAGAUCGGAAGGAACAUCUGUGGCGAAGGCGACUAUCUGGGCCAACACUGACACUGAGGCACGAAAGCGUGGGGAGCAAACAGGAUUAGAUACCCCAGUAGUCCCUGUCUCUUAUACA